rnacentral:rRNA from 1 species
GAAUCUCCCGGGNUACACGCGCGCUACAAAGGGCAGGACAAUGGGUUUCGACACCGAAAGGUGAAGGCAAUCCCGAAACCUGCUCGUAAUUCGGAUUGAGGGCUGCAAUUCGCCCUCAUGAAGCUGGAAUACGUAGUAAUCGCGGGUCAACAUCCCGCGGUGAAUAUGCCCCUGCUCCUUGCACACACCGCCCGUCAAACCACAUUUAGUUGGGUC